rnacentral:rRNA from 1 species
CCUACGGGUGGCAGCAGUGAGGAAUAUUGGUCAAUGGACGUAAGCCUGAACCAGCCAAGCCGCGUGAGGGAUGAAGGUUCUAUGGAUCGUAAACCUCUUUUAUAAGGGAGUAAAGUGCGGGACGUGUCCCGUUUUGUAUGUACCUUAUGAAUAAGGAUCGGCUAACUCCGUGCCAGCAGCCGCGGUAAUACGGAGGAUCCGAGCGUUAUCCGGAUUUAUUGGGUUUAAAGGGUGCGUAGGCGGUCUGUUAAGUUAGCGGUGAAAGGUUGUGGCUCAACCAUAGAAGUGCCGUUGAAACUGGGGGGCUUGAGUAUGGUGGAGGGAGGCGGAAUGCGUGGUGUAGCGGUGAAAUGCUUAGAUAUCACGCAGAACCCCGAUUGCGAAGGCAGCCUGCCAAGCCAUGACUGACGCUGAGGCACGAAAGCGUGGGGAUCAAACAGGAUUAGAUACCCGAGUAGUC